CUUUCUUUGCUUCCUGGGCUUUACAAACCUUGGAAUUUUUUCUUUCUCUACAGUAGAUAACAGACACUAACAGAAGCCACCAGAUACAUCCCCAUUUCAGUUACUUACGAGGGGAGUAUGGCUGCAAGGAUGCACACAGCUGUGACUUUGCAUUUGAAGAGUUACUGCUGUGCCUGGGAUGCAGAAAGAAAUGUAGUAUCUCCGAACCAUUCAAAUCAGGAGAUUCUUAAUGUACACCACUGGUGCCUUCUAUGGGAUUUUGUGGCAGAGUAUUGGUGAGGAGGGCAAUCUUGACCAAGCCUUAGACAGUGUGGUCAAAGAUCUGACCAGAAGACAUUUAUCCCUCCGAGGGAAGGUCUUAUGCAGAGCCUCCAGCAGAAAACAGCUUCACCAUGCUGCAGGACACAUGACCAACAGCCUGUCUUCUUGGAGCUGCCAGAUGCUCACAAGGAGAAUGGCUGGCAUGGACAACCAGCAACAGGCAUGGUCACGCUGCUUCCUGUUGGCCCCUGCCAUGGCAAAGGGAGAGCAAGUUCACCAAGGCUUCAUCAGGUGGUUUCAUUUGUUCUCAAGGGGGAGUUUUUAUUAGCCUUCUGCUAGAAGCGUUGUGUUGAUUGGAUAAAUACUCUCAGGUCUAAUUGUCUGUGAGAAAUUAGAGAACAAAAAGGAAGAGGUGGCUUCUGAAAGCCAACUUGGCCUUGUACUGUCAACUAGCUCAUUUAGGGAAUGAUUAAAAAGGAGGGGGGGAAGGAGGAAUGUAGGAGUAGGAGGAGAGUGUGUUGGAGAUGCUGUGAGCACUGCUCCCAGCCGCCUGUCGCGAGUGUGAGAAGGCGCAGGUAGCUCUCAGGAAUGAAGCCCUGCAGGUCUGUGGCAAUGACAUAUCCCUCUGCUGAGGACGAGAAGAUAGUUCUGACACAACUCAACAUAUCGCUGUUUCUGACUAAGUCCAUUGUUGGAUUUAAUGAACAAGUAAGUGAUGUUUCAAACUGAUAAACACCCUGCAGCAAAUUUCCCAUUUUAUGUUGCAAUGAGUGAGCCAAGGAAGUUUGGGCAAGCUGUAAAGGGCCUUCAGUGUACGGUUUAAGUCUUUAUUCAAAGUGGAGGCGUUUCUCAGAGCUAGCAUGAAAGUUUCUCUCACCUCCACCCCCAAAAUGGAGAUAAAGUUUCCACAGACUAAGCAGUGUUAUCUCUAAAAACAAGACAGUGACUGCUACGAACAUUGCUGGUAGUUCAUUAUCACAGUGAGAUAUGCAUUAUGAAACAUAACAUCUGUUAACUAUUUCACUGCUAAUCCUUCUAGAUACCAAAUAUUUCAUUUGUGUGUCUAUCCUAUCCUGCAACAUGCAACUUCCUUCUUGACCACCAAAAGCUUGCCUGUCCCAUGCCCACCUGCUUACGCUUCCAGGCUUGAGACUUGGCAUCUUUUUGUGAUACAAUUCUGUGUUACCAAUAGGAGACCAUUUACUAUCCCCAAAACAGGAAAUGUGGGGCCAGUAUACAAGAAAAGAAGUUCAGUAUCAAAAUAAAUCUUUCCAGGGACUGCCCCAAAGCAGUGCAUUUUUUUU